UACGUAGGGUGCAAGCGUUAAUCGGAAUUACUGGGCGUAAAGCGUGCGCAGGCGGUUAUGUAAGACAGUUGUGAAAUCCCCGGGCUCAACCUGGGAACUGCAUCUGUGACUGCAUAGCUAGAGUACGGUAGAGGGGAUGGAAUUCCGCGUGUAGCAGUGAAAUGCGUAGAUAUGCGGAGGAACACCGAUGGCGAAGGCAAUCCCCUGGACCUGUACUGACGCUCAUGCACGAAAGCGUGGGGAGCGAACAGG
rnacentral:rRNA from 1 species